rnacentral:rRNA from 1 species
ACAGAGGUCCCAAGCGUUGUUCGGAUUCACUGGGCGUAAAGGGUGCGCAGGUGGGUUUGCAAGUUCGAUGUGAAAGCCCCGGGCUUAACCCGGGAAUGGCAUUGGAUACUGCAGAUCUGGAGGAUCGGAGGGGGGACUGGAAUUCUUGGUGUAGCAGUGAAAUGCGUAGAUAUCUGGAGGAACACCGGUGGCGAAAGCGGUUCACUGGCCCGACACUGACACUGAGGUGCGAAAGCUAGGGUAGCAAACGGGA